CCCUUAGACGUUCUGGGCCGCACGCGCGCUACACUGACCAGUGCAACAAGCAUCCGUCCUUGGCCGACAGGCCCGGGCAAUCUUUGAACGCUGGUCGUGAUGGGGAUAGACUUUUGCAAUUUUUGGUCUUCAACGAGGAAUUCCUAGUAAACGCAAGUCAUCAACUUGCAUUGAUUACGUCCCUGCCCUUUGUACACACCGCCCGUCGCACCUACCGAUUGAAUGAUUUAGUGAGGACUUCGGACUGGGACCGAUGCGGCUUUCGGGCUGCGUCGGUAUUCUGGAAAGAUGUCCAAACUGUAUCAUUUAGAGGAAGUAAAAGUCGUAACA
rnacentral:rRNA from 1 species